AUGCUUUUACUGUUGGCAUUGCUGCUGCUCUGUAAUGAAGUUGGCAACGCACACUGCUCAACUAUCCACGAAAACAGCGUCGAUCUGCACUCGCUGCUUGCCUUCAAGCAGAGCAUCACCAACGAUCCUCAAGGAGCCUUGAGUAACUGGGACAACAGGACCCACUUCUGCCGCUGGAAUGGUGUCAACUGCACCUCCACGACACCACCGUUCCGUGUCUCGUCGCUUAUUCUCGCUAGCCAAAACUUAGCAGGCCAAAUUAGCCCCUCUCUUGGAAACCUAACUUUCCUCACGUGGCUUGACCUUUCCGGGAACUACUUUGUUGGCCCAUUGCCUGUCCUUGGCCAUCUUCAAAGACUACAGACACUUUACCUCAACAACAACAGUUUAAAUGGGAUAAUUCCUGAUUCACUUACCAACUGUUCCAACUUUAUCAACUUAGAUAUCUCUGUAAACUCCCUCGUGGGUGUAAUUCCUACAAAACUGGUCUUCCUUUCAAGUCUGGCCUACUUAGAUCUCUCUGCAAACUCGCUAGCCGUGGGUCAAAUUCCUCUGAAACUAGACUUCCUGCCAAAACUGAUUUACUUGGAUCUCUCUGUAAAUUUGCUAGUAGGCCAAAUUCCUCCGAGUUUAGGCUUUCUUCCUAAUCUAACAUAUAUCUUUCUUCGAUCAAAUCAACUUAAGGGGAGCAUUCCUGAGCUUGGGCAAUUUCCGCAAUUGCAAGAGCUGAUCCUGGGAAAAAAUAAGCUUUCAUGUGAACUCCCACAUGCCAUCUUGAAUGCUUCUGGUUCGCUCCAAAUUUUGGGCUUGGAAUUCAAUAUGCUAAGCAACACAUUGCCACCUAAUAUUGGCGACCGACUUCCUAAGCUCAUUCAUCUUACAUUGUCUGGUAACACGUUUGAAGGUAACAUCCCAGCUUCCCUAGGAAAUGCUCAAGGUUUAAAACUGAUAGAUUUAUCAGAUAACAGUUUCACAUGGAUAAUUCCUACUUCUUUUGGGAAGCUUUCAAAUCUGACUAUUCUAAACCUUGAGAAUAACCUGCUUGAAACAAGGGACAACAGAGACUGGGAGUUCUUAAAUGCACUAAGAAAUAACAGUUUCACCGGGAUAAUUCCUACUUCUUUUGGAAAGCUUUCAAAUCUAACUACCCUAAACCUUGAGAAUAACCUGCUUGAAACAAGGGAUAACAGAGACUGGGAGUUCUUAAAUGCACUGAGAAAUUGUCGGUCUCUAAAGGUACUAUCAGUCUCUUUGAAUCAGCUGCAGGGAUCUACUCCCCAGUCCAUUGGUAACCUAUCCCCCAGCCUUGAGCAACUCUUGCUGUUUGGAAACAACUUAUCAGGACAAGUACCCCAGAGCAUCAGAAAACUUAGCGCCUUAAUUAAACUGUCAAACAGCUUCACCGGCCUAAUCCCAUCCUCUGUUGGCAAACUUACUCGAUUGACAUAUCUGCAUAUAGGUGAAAAUGAGUUCGAGGGCCAUAUACCAGCCAGCUUGGGAAACCUUCCACUCUUACGGCUGCACCUUGGCGAUAACAAUUUCCAAGUCUAUAUACCAUCAAAAUUUGGAAACCUCCAACAACUAAUAUCAUUGAAUCUCAGCCACAACUACCUCCAAGGUGACAUACCUCACAUUAGUACCCUUAAGCAACUUACUACUUUGGAUCUUUCAUCAAAUAAGCUAACAGGGCAAAUUCCUGAUUCUUUGGGCCAAUGUAACGGCUUAGUGAGUCUGCAAAUAGAUCAAAACUUUAUGUCGGGAAACAUUCCAACAACAUUUGGCAACCUGUUGUCACCGAGCAUGCUUAAUAUUUCACACAACAACUUGUCAGGCACUAUCCCGUUAGCUCUGAGCAAACUAGAGUACCUCAUCAAUCUUGACCUUUCGUGUAAUAAUCUAGAAGGAGAAUUACCAAGGAAUGGAGUAUUUGGAAAUGCCACAGCUGUUUCAAUUGAGGGUAAUUGGGGGCUCUUUGGAGGUGCGAUAGAUCUUCACAUGCCCAUGUGCCCUACUGUUUCUCGGAGGUCAGAGACACAAUACUAUUUGGUCCGAGCGUUGAUUCCAUUAUUUGGCUUCACAUCACUUGUAAUGUUGGCUUACAUUGUAUUCUUUGGGAAGAAGACGUCACGAACAACAUAUUCGGUUUUGCUUUCUUCUGGUAAGAAAUUCCCUAGAGUUGCCUACAAUGAUGUAGCUCGAGCUACAGGGAAGUUCUCAGAGUUAAACCUUAUUGGGAGAGGAAGCUAUGGUUCAGUGUACAGAGGAAAGUUAACUCAAGCUAAAAUACAAGUGGCUAUUAAGGUUUUUGACCUUGAUAUGAAAUGUGCGGACAAAAGUUUUGUAAUAGAAUAUGAGGUUUUGAGUAGAAUUCGGCACCGGAACCUUGUACCUAUCCUAACUGCAUGUUCAACAGUACACAAUAAAGGUGACACUUUCAAGGCUCUAAUUUAUGAAUUCAUGCCUAACGGGAAUUUGGACACAUGGUUGCAUAACAAAUUUUUGAGUAGUUCUUCAAAAUAUUUGAGCUUAUCUCAAAGAGCAAUCAUAGCUACUGGUAUAGCCAAUGCAUUGGCUUAUUUACACAAUGAUUGUGAAAGGCAGAUUGUACAUUGUGAUUUGAAGCCAAAAAAUAUCCUUCUUGACGAUGAUAUGAAUGCUUACUUUGGAGACUUCGGCAUUGCAAGCCUCAUCGGACAUUCAAGCCUAGCUACCUCAACUGGGCUGAAGGGAACGAUAGGCCACAUAGCUCCAGGUAUAUAUAUAGCAGUACCUGCACUUUCAUUUUGA
rnacentral:rRNA from 1 species